GGGGAUAUAGCUUAAUGGUAGAGCAGUAGUCUUCAAAAUUAUUAAUAUGGGUUCGAUUCCCUUUGUCCUCG
rnacentral:tRNA from 1 species